rnacentral:lncRNA from 1 species
GAAUAGCAGGGAGGUUAUCCAUCAAAAAGCACACAGGCCAUUUGAACUGCAUUCAGAGAUUCAGCAAAUAUUGGUUUUGUCCCAGGAUUCCUUGUUUGCAGGACAGCAUCUUCACACUGUUUCUGGCACUGGGAGCACUGCUGAAUUACAGUGGAGUUGCAGAGCUUUGGAGGCUUCUCAGCAAAUGAUGGACCAAGAACCAGUCUCUGAGGAUAUUCUAAGAGCAACUUAAUGUGAGCUGCCCAACUCAGGCAAGAAUGGUUUUUACAAGGUCUCUGUACCUCUGGAGCCAAUGAUGCAAAACCAUACCCAGCUGUCUCCUUUGAUAAAAUAAAGAAUUAAAGGUAGGUAAAUUCA